AUACGAAAGGUGCAAGCGUUGUGCGGAUUUACUGGGCGUAAAGAGAGUGUAGGUUGUUUAUUAAGUCGGAUGUGAAAUCCCGGGGCUCAACCUCGGAACUGCAUUCGAUACUGGUAGACUAGAGUUCGGGAGGGGUAAGCGGAAUUCCGUGUGUAGCAGUGAAAUGCGUAGAUAUACGGGGGAACACCUGAGGCGAAGGCGGCUUACUGGACCGAUACUGACACUGAGACUCGAAAGCGUGGGUAGCAAACAGGAUUAGAAACCCUUGUAGUCC
rnacentral:rRNA from 1 species